GACGAACGCUGGCGGCGUGCUUAACACAUGCAAGUCGAACGCUGAAGCUUGGUGCUUGCACUGGGUGGAUGAGUGGCGAACGGGUGAGUAAUACGUGAGUAACCUGCCCUUGACUCUGGGAUAAGCCUGGGAAACUGGGUCUAAUACUGGAUACGACAUGUCACCGCAUGGUGGUGUGUGGAAAGGGUUUUACUGGUUUUGGAUGGACUCACGGCCUAUCAGCUUGUUGGUGGGGUAAUGGCUCACCAAGGCGACGACGGGUAGCCGGCCUGAGAGGGUGACCGGCCACACUGGGACUGAGACACGGCCCAGACUCCUACGGGAGGCAGCAGUGGGGAAUAUUGCACAAUGGGCGGAAGCCUGAUGCAGCGACGCCGCGUGAGGGAUGACGGCCUUCGGGUUGUAAACCUCUUUCAGCACGGAAGAAGCGAAAGUGACGGUACGUGCAGAAGAAGCGCCGGCUAACUACGUG
rnacentral:rRNA from 1 species